UAAAAGUACAAGUAACUUAAUACACAAUAAUGUUGGUAGAAGUAAAAGGCACUUUGCAAAGUACGUAUCAUCAAUUGGGUAAAAGUGUUAAAGUAUCUGACAUUUGCUGUAAGGUCCCCUUCCAUUAAAAUCCAAAAUUUGCCACUAUUUUAUGCACAACACAGGUAGACUUUACACCGAUCUGAUCGGCCUGAUCGGUAUCGGACAAUAAUUAGCAUUUUAUGCUGAUCGGCUGAUCGGCUUCAAUGGUAUAAUUCGCCAUUCCGAUCAAUGACGUCAUUGAAAAACAGUCCGCAAAAGACAUUUACUCCGCGUCGACAUCGUGUACAAUAUAUUUGAAUUCAAAAGCUAGUGUAGUUUUAGCCUGUCGUGUGUCUUUUGACAUAGUACUGUAAAUAUCUGACAACCAAUAAAGUUAUUUAAAAAAAACAUGUCGGCGGUGUGGGACAAACAACGCGUCUGAGACAGACAUGUAAUGCGUGGAUCAGACUACCAGACAAAUUUGGUCUUUCACUAUUGCACUAUGUCAGACGACUGCAAUAACAUCUUGUAUUCAGAUACCACCACAUCCCGUCUUUUUCGAUCACUGGGCUUAGCUUAUCAACUCAUAAAUGCGACCGGAUACACUUACCAUGGCGACGACAUCGCAACGCAUGUAGUAUAAGAAUAAAAUGGGGACAUACGUGUGCUGGUGGUUACCAGUGCUCGGGACAUUACGUUCAUUUAAGACUUGCUUAAGGUAUGUUCACGUACUUUUAAUACAAUACCGCUCGCAAGCAGGCAACAAAAUGUUAUGUAGCCUAGCAAGCUAGUGCUAGCACUAACAGUUGUGCGUAAACAUCCCAGCAUGAUGUCGAAUCAUGCUCUAAGGUUUUGGUGUGUGUGAAGUAAUUUAAUUACAAUAAAGUAAUUCAACUACAGUAAGUUAGCUCCCAUUAUUUAUGUCAUGUUGUAAUGUUGGUUUGACCUGACUGAUCAGAAUACAUGACCUGACGAGAACAAUGAUUUCCAACCUUUAGGGAGCGAAGGCACAUAUUUUACAAUUGGAAAAUAUCUCUGCACACCAACAAACAAAAAUGUCACAAAAAGUAGAUACACAGUAAUUACUGUAUGUACUUCCUGCCAUCUAAUAGAAGCGCAUUUAUUUGUUCUGUCUGUCACUAUGCCUCACUGGCAUAAAUAGAGGAACAAAGAUACAUUAUUACUUGUAAAUGAGUAAUUUUUUAAGCAGAUAAGUAAAAUUUGAUAAUUUACCACGGCACCCCUGAAGAUUGCUCAUGGCAGACUAAUGUGCCAUGGCACACUGGUUGGGAAUCACUGAGAGAAUGAAUACUUUUAAGAUACUCAGUAUACAGUACACACGUAUAUACAGCAAAUUCAUUCAUUUAAAUAGACAUAUUGCUCCAUCUUGUGAUCAGAUCGGUGAUCAGUUAUCGUUUUUUAAAACUCGCUGAUCGGUGAUCGGCCCCAAAAAUCCUUAUCGCGUAAACCCUAAAUACAGGUCAAAAUGAGUCUGUGACCUAGUUUAAGUUUUCAGUUUGUCGACUGAAUGCAAAAGACAAUUAAUGGCAUAAGGCUUUCAAAAUCCAUCCAUUCCAUCCAUUUUCUACACCGCUUAUCCUGGUCAGGGACGCGGGACGCUGGAGCCUAUCCCAGCUGACUUCAGGCGAAAAGCGGAUUACACCCCAAACUGGUUGCCAGUCAGUCGCGGGCCACAGACUUUAGAAAUGACCAGAUCGAAUUUCCAUGUGUUUGUGACAAUUUUUUUUUUUACUAAUCAUUCAAGUAUCUUCCCACUUCUUGAUUGCUACACACCCACUCACCUCAGGAAAAAUAGCUGAGCGACAACACAGCUGCUUCUUACGCAAAGCUUUGCAUCACCUGUAAAACUCAGAUGAGUUGAGUUAUUUAUUUUUUUUGCCAGUCUCAGGCAGUAAACCAACACGUCCAUACACCUUAUUCACAUAAAGGUUCAGCUCGCCGGCCAUACCAAUGACCCCUAUGCCUUACCAGUGCUUUUUAAGUGGAAAAGCUAACUGAAUUCGUAUGUGCCCAUUAUCUUAACAGAGUACACAUAAAUUAUUGUGAGGAGAGGAGACUGACACUAUACACCAAACAUAGUAAUAAUGUUGUAAAAGAGUAAUAAUACUGUAAAAGUGACUCCAGAAAGCUUUAUGUCAAAAGUAUUUAAACUGCCACAAGGGCUCACGCUAAUUACAACAAUUAUAGUCAUUGUAAUGGUGAGUUGUAAUGUAACUGGUUAUCGUGAUUCAAUGAAGUCAAAAGAACUACUGUUCCCAUUACUACUUCUUCCCGCUUUCAUAAAUAAGUCAGGCUCACCUGCAUGACAAUACAGUAUAAUUUCUUUGCAAAAGAUGAGGAAUCUGGCCUUAUUUGGUGCGGAUUCAUCACUUGCAGGGACAUAGUUUAACUAUAUAUUUUCUAAACCAGCAAUUACUUAAGUAUUAUUGUGUUCAAAUCAUAGGAAUUGUAGAACAACAUAUUUGAAUAUGAGCACUCUCCUCCUUUCGGAGCGGACAUAGCAUGAAUAAAAGCUUUGCAUGAUGGGUGGCUGAGUUACUAAUUUAAUAGUAAUUAGAAAGCUAAACCUCAGGAAUUACUUUUGACUUACGGGAUUGCACAGGUGCUUCUUUGUUUGUGACAGAAUUGGUUACAAGUGGCUAAUUAUCCAUCUCUGUGCCUUUUUCUUUGUUCAUUAUUUUUUGCUUCCUCCUUAGGCAUGUCUAAACGUUUUGACUGAGGAAAAAUUAAGCUGAAGACUGUAAUUGUCCUGGCCAUUACAGCUUUUAGCUCAUCAACUGCGUAUGUUGUUUUGAGACACUUGUUUACAUUGACAAUGAAAACAUCAAUAUCAGUUGGGGCUUCUUUUUUUCACACCCUGAAAUGAAAUAUUUAAGCCGACAGCAACAACUAUUACUGUUUUUAACUCUAAAACAAUGUGUGUCUCAUUUUUGUACACACUAUUAAACUUCUAAAAUGCUAACUUUUGGGAAAUAUCAAUGUGCUAGAAGUCAUAAAGCAGACGAGUUUGUAUAAUGUGUGCAGAAUAACUUAAUGAGUCUCAGGCUGACGGGAAAAAAACAACUACUCUUGCGGUAGAGCAGCUGAAUCUUUGUACUCUUUGCAAUUUGGCAGAUGGCAGCAGGGUGAACAGACUUCUACUGGUGGGCGGUUUUUUUUGUUUUUUUUCUCCCCCCAUUUUGGCUCUGUGCAUGAAUGUCAUUCACACUUAGAAGAAGGAUGCUGAUAUUUGAGACUCCCCGUAAGAAGCAGGUCACCUGGACUGGUCACCAGUCAAUCACAGGACACAACCUUCGACCCUCAACGCCUGACCCACAUUUUGUCAUUAAGUCACCACCCACAGGUCAAAAGUAUUUUCCAAAACCCACAUUUGAAAACACAUGUACAUGUAAUAAUUGCGGUGUCCUACUAUCCCGAACCUUGGGCCCAUAGAAAAUUUAUAUACCGAGACGCCUCUGCGGGAGGCUUUCAAACUCCCUUCAAUAGCUUCUGCUCAACCUAAAAUACACCUCGAACCGGUCUUCCCACAACUAGAAAACUCACAAACUAAUUUUAACUCUGAAAUGCUGCUGUAAAAUUAUCCAUCCAUCCAUUUUCUGUACCGCUUACUCUCAGUAAAGUGGCAAGCAUGCUGGAGCUUAUCUCAGCUAUCUUCGGGCGAGAGGCGGGGUACACCCUGAACUGGUCGCCAUCCAAUCGCAGGGCACAUAGAAACAAACAACCAUUCACACUCACAUCGACACCAGCGUGCAAUUUAGAGCCUUCUGACUUCCUUCGAGAUUGUUGCGUCACCUCUUCUAAAUAUGGGAUGGCCGCACCCCCGUUGCCGUCGUCGUUGUCGUCAUUUCACACUGAGCAAGUGCAGUGUGAAAAGCCCUUAAGUUAAAUAGAAAAACACUUUUCAAAAUUUGAAUAGCCGGCGCACACCAUUGCAUCGUUGCAGAUUAUAGCCAAUCAAAAUGCACAUAAACUUUCACUCAUACUAAAAAUACAUACACAUACAGAACAGCCGGCGCAAAUCCUUACACUACAUUAUGUUAAGCAUCAGAUAUGAUGUGUCAUGUCGGUGUUUUGUUUCACAUUUUCCUGUGUCCCAUGUGUCUUGGACUGCCCUGCAGUAGUGUUUUGGAGCCUGGAUGGCGCUUUGCGCUCUCUCGUCCUCUCUCUUUCCCCCUCCCCUCUCUGUUUCAGCUUUUCCUCAAGCCACGCACCUGUCUCCAAUCAACCCUCAGCACCACUUAGAUUUAAGCCUGCCUGUUCCCGGAAAUCCUCGCCAAAGUAUUGCAGCCUCUCCUAGCGGUACCACGGCCCACCGUACUUACUGUUAAAUAAAUUGUAGAAGUUAUCAUUUAUUUGCUUAGCUUGCAUUAGUAUUCGUCAGAGAAGGGCGCCUUGACCAAGGACACGUGGCCGGUGUUGGUCUCAUGUCUUCACCUUGAAACCCUCCCCUUAGUGUGUUAUGUCUUGUAACUUAGUAUGUUAUGUCUUGUAACUUAGUAUGUUAUGUCUUGUAACUUAGAUACUUCCCUAUUUCAAAUAAAUACAGGAGCAACGGGGGAGAUUGUUUAGAGCGUGAUAAGAGACUGUAAUUGAACAAUCUCCCAUACGUCCACCUCAUGAGCAAAAAGAAACCAGCGUCUUCAUUCCUUUGUGUCUAUUUUUAUAGGUGUUGGGUGAGAUAGAUCCAACAUUAAAUUGGUCCUUCGAGCCGGAUUUCAACACACCCGAGGAUUCCAGUUGUGGAGCCGACUUCCAGUUAAGAGACCGUGGCAAGUAAGACCCUUUACGGGACUGGUCUUCGUUCUCCUCAACUGGGAUCUGAAGGUUACUGAGCCAAAUUUUACUGUAUGUAGAUGAUGUUUUCCUGGCAUCUCCAGAUGGAGAGACAUGCAUCAAAGAUUCAUUGGUUUUACUGCAUCAUCUAGCAGAAGAGGGACAAAAAGUUAGCAAAAAUAAAUUACAAUUGUGUAAAAGGCAAGUCAAAUAUCUAGGCCAUAAUUUAAGUGUAGGAGGAAGGACUAUAUUAGAAGACAGAAAAGCUAUAGUCUUAAAAGCCCCUACACCACAGACGAAGAAACAGAUGAUGUCAUUUUUAGGUCUGACAAAUUAUUGUAGAGCAUGGAUUCCAAAAUAUGCAGAAAUUGUUGCACCAUUGUCAAAAUUAAUGUAUGAAGACAACCUUAAAAUGACAUCACCUGUUCAAUGGAAUACAGAGGCAGAAAAGGCCUUCUGUGACAUUAAACAGCAUUUGGUAUCCAGUACAGCGCUGGCCCUUCCAAAUUCUGAUAAACCAUUUAUUCAAAUGGUAGAUUGUAAAAGCUAUUACAUGACCUCCGUACUUACACAACAUUACGGUGAUAAGCUAAGACCAAUAGCUUAUUUUUCAACUAAAUUGGACAGCGUAACGUGUGCAUUACCGCAUUGUGUCAGAGCAGUUGUGGCAGCCCCGAUGGCAGUGGAGAGCAGUUCCACAAUUGUGUUAUUUCAUCCAUUAACUCUUAAGUUUCCACAUACAGUGUCUGCUCUCCUAUUGCAAACGAAUAUGGCAUUUUUAUCACCUGCAAGACAUUUAUCUUGCAUGGCCAUCUUGCUGUCACAACCACAUUUGACUGUUGAGCGAUGCACAACCUUAAAUCCAGCCACACUAACACCCUUACCUGAUGAAGGCACGCAGCAUGAUUGUCAGGAAUUGGCUGAACAAGCUGCUGAAUUAGUAGCAUUAACCGAGGCAUGCAAACUAAUGAUAAAUAAAGAUGUUACAAUCUAUACUGAUAGCCAAUAUCCGUAUUCCACAACAAGAAUGCAAUUAUUGGGAAAAACAAGGUGCAAAACUACAAAAAGAAAUUUACAUUAGCACAGAAGGGAAACAAAUACUUCCGAAAAAAAAACCUAUUCAAAUGGGCUGCUAUAUUGAGCCAUGGUGUGUCACAUGUCUCAACUGGAGGGAUGGUGGGACAGAUACAUCGACACUUUACAGCCCUAAAAUAUAGCAGAAAGAAACACGUAGGUUCAUUUAACACACUGUAAAAUAGUCAUUUGAGCUGAGUACUCAAAUAGGGAAGGUGAGCAAAAGUCUGAUAACGGAGCGGGAGCAGAUGUGUAGAUUCUGAAAACGCUUGCUGGUCAGUGAAGAAAAAAGACACCAACCCGUUUAGUGAGAACUCAGCAGAAUGGCACACCCGCGUUGGUUACGAAAUUUGAUAGGUUUUUACAUAGCAACUUUGGCUACCAUGGUGUUGGUUUUGUUUAUGUGGUAUAUGGGACGUCCCACCCUGAAUGAUACCAACUGAGAGGUGUAAAUCAUGGGAUCCUAUAUAUCCCGUAACAAAAAAAAAAAAGCACCAAUGUUGUUGUCAAAUCUAGAACAUAGACAAAAAAGAGAUUUAUCCUGGCAGGGGCAAAAUGAUCCAACAUAAAACAUACAUCGACGCCAUAGGUGUUCCUCAUGGGGUUCCUAGUCAAUACAAAUUAGCUGUUGCAGGAGGAUUUGAGUCCCUCAUAUGCUGGUGGUGUACGAUUAAUAAAAAUGUUGAUAGGAUAAACUAUAUCCACUUCAAUGUACAGAGAUUAGGAAAUUGGACUCAGAGUGGGUUGGAAGCUGUGCAUGAGCAGCUCAAGGCUACCUCUUUAAUGACGUUCCAAAACCGCAUAGCUGUCGACAUGCUCCUCGCAAGAGAGGGAGGUGUUUGCGGUAUGUUUGGAGAACAAUGUUGUACAUACAUUCCGAACAAUACUGCUUCAGAUGGCAGCUUGACCAGAGCCAUCGAUGGUCUACGGACCCUCAAUCAACACUCCUUGUGGGACAGCUGGAUGGACGUUUUUGGUAAAUACAAAACCCUAAUUUCACCAAUAUUGAUAUCAAUUUCUGUUUUUGCAGCCAUUCUGACAUUUUGUGGAUGUUGUUGUAUCCCAUGCAUUCGGGCUUUAAUCAGUAGAUUAAUCACCACAGCAAUUACCCCCAUGGAGAACGGUAUGGAGCAGAUGUAUCCUUUACUGGUUGUUGAUAAUGACGAUGAUGACGAUGAUGAUGAUGAUGAGGAUGUUGCUUUACCUGAUUUGUUUCCUGAUCCAGGUGAUUACAAUGUUUAAAAUACAACAUUCAUGUAUGACAAGUUUACUCUGAGUGUAAAUGUAUUUGUUCCAUAAAAAUGAUUCUACAGUUAAAAAUCAAAAUGAAGUGACUGUAAGAUGAUAUGAGAAUUUGUGCAAAUACAUGAUAAACAGGAGGGAAAUGUUAAAUAAAUUAUAGAAGUUAUAAUUUAUUUGCUUAGCUUGCAUUAGUAUUAUGGACGAUUUUGAUGGUUGCUUGCUGACCGUGGUGGAAAGGAAGAUGUCUCGCCUUCUGGAAGAUAACUCAGCGGGAAUCGUCAGAGAAGGGCGCCUUGACCAAGGACACGUGGCCGGUGCUGGUCUCAGGUCUUCACCUUGAAACCCUCCCCUUAGUGUGUUAUGUCUUGUAAUUUAGUAUGUUCUGUCUUGUAACUUAGAUACCUCCCAAUUUCAAAUAAAUACAGGAGCAACGGGGGAGAUUGUUUAGAGCGUGAUAGGAGACUGUAAUUGAACAAUCUCCCAUACGUCCUCCUCAUGAGCAAAAAGAAACCAGCGUCUUCAUUCCUUUGUGUCUAUUUUUUAUAGGUGUUGGGUGAGAUAGAUCCAACACUCAAUUAAGCUACUCAACUCCUCGUUCUCUUGUUAACUCUUGUGUCUCCUCGUUCCCAGUGUUCCUGACCCACGUCAUUCCUGCCAGCCCCCUGUUCUGUCCACUGCCUGCCACCUGUCCACGCCGCCGCCUGUCAACACAUCCAGGACCACUUCCAUAACCUUUGCUCAGUAAACUGUUCAUCAUUUUACAUCAGCCUCCGCCUGCUCUUGGGUUCAGCUACUUCCCACCCGUGACAGAAUACUUUGGCCACUAUGGACCCAGCAACUCCGGAGGCUCUGAAGAACGCACCAACCCUCCAAGGCGCCCACAUUGGACGACAGGACAAAGACCUGCAAGAAAUCACCGAAAUGCUCCACUCCCUUUCGCAACAUGUCUCCCUCCUUUCCCAACAGACACAAUACAUGCAACCCCCCGUAAGGGCUCCUCCCGAGCCACCCCACUUCUCGUACAAAGAACCUCAUGUGCCCUAUUCCGGGGACCUAGGUGCAUGUAGCCAGUUUAUUCUUAAUUGCUCACUCGUAUUCAAUCUCCAACCAUACAGUUAUCCCACCGAGGGUUCCAAAGUAGCAUAUGUCACUAACCUCCUCCGCAGCAAAACAGCAAAAUGGUCCACUUCAUUAUGGCACAACACCUCCCCGGUCCUCCUUUCGUUCGAUUACUUUUCUCCCAAACUCCAUAAGGUUUUCGAUCACCCCGUUCAGGGCAAAGAAGCCACCCGUCGUCUCCUCACACUCACUCUGGGCGCUAAGUCCGUCGCGGAAUAUUCCAUCGACUUCCUUAUCCUUGCUGGGGAAUGCAGGUGGGAUGACCCUUCGGGGAAUCUUUUCAAACGGUCUCGCUGAACAAAUCAAGGACAAGCUUGCGGUCCGGGACGAGCCCUCCUCUCUCGAGGCUGUUAUCGCCUUCUCCAUCCGUCUGGAUAACAGACUGCGAGAGAGAGCCCGUGAGAAAGCGAUAUGCUUGCGUAAACACUCUCCCGCUCUGAGCACCACACAGUCAUCUUCCGGACUUUCGUCACACACCGUUGCAUCCGAUGAAUCCAUUCAAAUUGGUCAAACACGUUUAGAGCCACAAGAACAUCAGCAUCGUGUCAUCCAGCGGCUGUGCAUCUACUGUGGUCAAUCCGGUCACUUUAUUUCCUCGUGCCCCCUCCGACCAGAAAGACCAGGCUCACCGCGUCUAAAUCCUAUCCAGCUGACCUUUACUCGGGCAGCCGUUUUGCCAUCUAUUCGGGACCUCCACGUUGUAGCCAAUGGAGGCGACCAAGUAAAGUAAAGGUCACCCGAAUCUGCUCCGGCGGUGCACGCUGUGUGGCUGCCACCCAACCAUCAUGCCUGGCCCCUGAAUUGGCGUUGGGUCCAGCAUCAUGGCCGUUCGCCUGAAUGGCCCUCUGGAAACCCUUGUGCUUGGCAACCUGGCCAACCUCCUGAACUGCCCAGCCAAGCAUCAUCAUAUCAUCAUAUAAUAAAGUAAUAAAACUGGAUUCUUAAUCUCUUCCUUAUGUUGUCAUGAACCACCCCGCAGUACCUUGGUUGGAGUCUGGGUGGCGCCUUGGGCCAUCUUGCCCUCUCUCUCUCCCCUUCCCGCUUUCUCUUUCCAGCACCUUCCUCGGCCGUACACCUGUCACCAAUCAGCCUUCAUUACCACCUGCAUAAAGGCCUGCCAGAAACUCUUGCCAGAGUAUUAUAGCUUCUCAGUGGUACAACAGUGUUUCCUCCGUGUUCAGCGCCAAGUGAAUUCCUACCGCCACCCCGCCUGCCAUCGUCACCACCUGCCACACACUCCCUGCCUCCACUGCCUGCUAGCGCACCUCAAGGAUGAUCUGAGGAGUAUCUGAAACAUUUGCACAAUCAACAUUGUCCCAGAUUAUCGCGCUACUAGUCACUUUAAACUGGAUGCACUCCUUGAAGUCUCCCUUUGGACAAUGGUCAUUGCACCGGACUAUUGCUAUAUUAGUCAUUCAAACUGCUCUAAGUGCUAGAGGACUCCCUUUGCACAAUUGUCAAAAAAAAAAUGGUACCGUCAUUGCCAGAUAACUAGCAACCCUUUAUUGCUCAGUGACUGUUUUUCUAAAUGCCUUUAUGACUCAAAAGUGGUCUCUGUCAAUUGACUGUCUGUUGUCGUACUAGAGCGGCUCCAACUACCGGAGACAAAUUCCGUGUGUGUUUUUUGGACAUACUUGGCAAAUAAAGACGAUUCUGAUUCUGA